rnacentral:rRNA from 1 species
GAUGAACGCUAGCUACAGGCUUAACACAUGCAAGUCGCGGGGCAGCAUGGGGGUUGCUUGCAAUCCCCGAUGGCGACCGGCGCACGGGUGAGUAACGCGUAUCCAACCUGCCCUUCACCACGGGAUAACCCGGCGAAAGUCGGACUAAUACCGUAUGUUGUCCAUUGACGGCAUCCGAUUUGGACGAAAGGUUUGGCGGUGAAGGAUGGGGAUGCGUCCGAUUAGCUGGACGGCGGGGUGACGGCCCACCGUGGCGACGAUCGGUAGGGGUUCUGAGAGGAAGGUCCCCCACACUGGAACUGAGACACGGUCCAGACUCCUACGGGAGGCAGCAGUGAGGAAUAGUGAUCAAUGGGCGUAAGCCUGAACCAGCCAAGUAGCGUGCAGGAUGACGGCCCUAUGGGUUGUAAACUGCUUUUAUGCGGGGAUAAAGUGGCCCACGUGUGGGUUUUUGCAGGUACCGCAUGAAUAAGGACCGGCUAAUUCCGUG